rnacentral:snoRNA from 1 species
GAGCAAGAGCGUCGAUAAUGGCGAAAUUUGCAUUGAAGGUUGGCGAUAACAUAGCAAUUCUCCGUGCCUAUCAAAUCUUUCAAUUUCGUUUUGAUUAUGGCCUCGAACAAGUUGCUACAUU